AGUUUGAGCAUGUCCCACAACAGCAUUUAAUGGGAAGCUGCCUGCAGAACAGUUACACUGCACAGAGCUCCUAUGGAGGAAGAGUGGGAAUUAGUAACAUUUUGAAGAUUGUUUGGGAAAUGAACCUUUGCUGACAAGCAAGAAUGAAUUGAAUUUUGUGACUUUCUGGAAAGUGCAGCGAGAUUAAAUGUGAAGAAUUCAGCCUCUG